rnacentral:rRNA from 1 species
ACACCGGUGGCGAAGGCGGGUUUCUGGCCGAUGAUUGACGCUGAGGUGCGAAGGUGUGGGGAGCAAACAGGAUUAGAUACCCUGGUAGUCCACACAGUAAACGAUGUACACUAGGUGUUGGGGCAAGAGCUUCAGUGCCGGCGCAAACGCAAUAAGUGUACCGCCUGGGGAGUAUGCCCGCAAGGGUGAAACUCAAAGGAAUUGACGGGGGCCCGCACAAGCGGUGGAGCAUGUGGUUUAAUUCGAUGAUACGCGAGGAAUCUUACCUGGGUUUGACAUCAAAAGCAAUAUUAUAGAGAUAUGGUAGCGU